rnacentral:rRNA from 1 species
CCCCGCCUCACGAACAAAACCCCGGCGCGAGACGCGCCAAGGAAUAGAAAACGAAGAGAUAAGGAACGGGUGGCCCGUCGAGUGCCGGAGACGGAUCUCUCGCGGGCGACCCCUUCUCGUUCGGAAACAAAACGACUCUCGGCAACGGAUAUCUCGGCUCUCGCAUCGAUGAAGAACGUAUCGAAAUGCGAUACUUGGUGUGAAUUGCAGAAUCCCGUGAACCAUCGAGUCUUUGAACGCUAGUUGCGCCCGAAGCCUUCGGGCCGAGGGCACGCCUGCCUGGGUGUCAUGCGUCGUCGCCCCCCGACCAUCGGGACGGGCGGAGAUUGGUCUCCCGUGCGCUCCCGCUCGCGGUUGGCCGAAAUACGAGUUGUUGGCGGCCGAUAGCGCCACG